rnacentral:rRNA from 1 species
GAUGAACGCUAGCUACAGGCUUAACACAUGCAAGUCGAGGGGAAACGGCAUCGAAAGCUUGCUUUUGAUGGGCGUCGACCGGCGCACGGGUGAGUAACGCGUAUCCAACCUGCCCAUCACUUGGGAAUAACCUUGCGAAAGUAAGACUAAUGCCCAAUGACAUCCCACGAAGGCAUCCGAAUGGGAUUAAAGAUUUAUCGGUGAUGGAUGGGGAUGCGUCUGAUUAGCUUGUUGGCGGGGUGACGGCCCACCAAGGCAACGAUCAGUAGGGGUUCUGAGAGGAAGGUCCCCCACAUUGGAACUGAGACACGGUCCAAACUCCUACGGGAGGCAGCAGUGAGGAAGAGUGGUCAAUAGGCGAGAGCCUGAACCAGCCAAGUAGCGUGCAGGAUGACGGCCCUAUGGGUAGUAAACUGCUUUUAUAAGGGAAUAAAGUGGGUCACGUGUGACUUUUUGCAUGUACCUUAUGAAUAAGGACCGGCUAAUUCCGUG